GAAUCAAAGAAGGUAAUAAUCCUGUAGUCGAAAAUGUUGUCUCUCUUGAGUGGAUCCUGAGUACGACGGAGCACGUGAAAUUCCGUCGGAAUCUGGGAGGACCAUCUCCUAAGGCUAAAUACUCUCUAGUGACCGAUAGUGAACCAGUACCGUGAGGGAAAGGUGAAAAGCACCCCGGAAGGGGAGUGAAAUAGAACCUGAAACCGUGUGCUUACAAGUAGUCAGAGCCCGUUAAUGGGUGAUGGCGUGCCUUUUGUAGAAUGAACCGGCGAGUUACGAUUUGAUGCAAGGUUAAGCAGUAAAUGUGGAGCCGUAGCGAAAGCGAGUCUGAAUAGGGCGUUUAGUAUUUGGUCGUAGACCCGAAACCAGGUGAUCUACCCUUGGUCAGGUUGAAGUUCAGGUAACACUGAAUGGAGGACCGAACCGACUUACGUUGAAAAGUGAGCGGAUGAACUGAGGGUAGCGGAGAAAUUCCAAUCGAACCUGGAGAUAGCUGGUUCUCUCCGAAAUAGCUUUAGGGCUAGCCUCAAGUGAUGAUUAUUGGAGGUAGAGCACUGUUUGGACGAGGGGCCCCUCUCGGGUUACCGAAUUCAGACAAACUCCGAAUGCCAAUUAAUUUAACUUGGGAGUCAGAACAUGGGUGAUAAGGUCCGUGUUCGAAAGGGAAACAGCCCAGACCACCAGCUAAGGUCCCAAAAUAUAUGUUAAGUGGAAAAGGAUGUGGCGUUGCCCAGACAACUAGGAUGUUGGCUUAGAAGCAGCCAUCAUUUAAAGAGUGCGUAAUAGCUCACUAGUCGAGUGACACUGCGCCGAAAAUGUACCGGGGCUAAACAUAUUACCGAAGCUGUGGAUUGUCCUUUGGACAAUGGUAGGAGAGCGUUCUAAGGGCGUUGAAGCAUGAUCGUAAGGACAUGUGGAGCGCUUAGAAGUGAGAAUGCCGGUGUGAGUAGCGAAAGACGGGUGAGAAUCCCGUCCACCGAUUGACUAAGGUUUCCAGAGGAAGGCUCGUCCGCUCUGGGUUAGUCGGGUCCUAAGCUGAGGCCGACAGGCGUAGGCGAUGGAUAACAGGUUGAUAUUCCUGUACCACCUAUAAUCGUUUUAAUCGAUGGGGGGACGCAG
rnacentral:rRNA from 1 species